UACGAAGGAGGCUAGCGUUGUUCGGAAUUACUGGGCGUAAAGGGCGCGUAGGCGGUGUGUCAAGUCAGGCGUGCAAAGCCCCGGGCUCAACCUGGGGAACCGCGCUUGAGACUGGCACGCUCGAGUUCGGGAGAGGAUGGUGGAAUUCCCGAGUGAUAGAGGUGAAAUUCGUAGAUAUUGGGAAGAACACCGAUGGCGAAGGCAGCCAUCUGGACCGACACUGACGGCUGAAGGCCGCGGAAAGCGUGGGGAGCAAACAGGG
rnacentral:rRNA from 1 species